UGAGAGGAGAGCCCAUUGAAGAUCUGAGCACCAAUGGAGGAUUUGUCUCUUUUGAUAUCACUGGGCGUCAUGUUGAAGGCAAGAGGCUUGACAAAACUGUUUGGAACCUACUUAACUUUUAUGCAUUUGUGAAAUAUCAUGUAAAGAGCACUCGAGGCUUCAUUCAAAGAAGGAUGAGAACGCGAUUAGAGAGCUUAGUUGAGGUAACUUGAAUUGCACCUACAAGCCUCUUUACAAAGUCCAGAAUGAUGUCUAACAUCAUUUUCUUAUCUCACCAUAUACAAUCUGGUUUCUGAAGCUCAUUGAAACCUUAAAUUCGUAAGAAAAACAAGGACAUCUAAUGAGCCCUCUAUUCCUGACAACUCGCAGGUAUUGUACAAUGCUGGAAUAAAAGAUGAACAUCAUAUUAAGAAGAAGAAUCGAGGACCUAAAGGAGUUAGGAAAUUGCUAAACUUCUCCAAAUCCAAGCUACUCAAGAAAAGAUACAAUUUCAUCAAUAAGAUCAAAAGAAUUCGAUCUAGAAUUAAAAUUCAUUGGUUCAGUCGUUUCCGCAAGCGAUGGUUGAAUUUUUCCAGAUUUUCUUCUCUAACAAGAUAUGAAAAACUAAACUAGUAUAAGUGCAUCUUCACAAUAGCAAUAAUUGUACUUCAAUAACUUCUCCUACAACAUAUUGUUGAGGGUAAAUGUACUUGGACAAAAGGUGCCUGGUCUGUGUAUCUUUUUCCUUUUCUUUUACAAACUUUGUACUCAUCAAAACAGCAUUGAUGAGCAGAUUAUUUCAUUUGUCGACUCAUGAAAUGCUAGUAAUGCAGAAGGCAUAAAACAGUUUAGACUUCA